rnacentral:rRNA from 1 species
CCCUUAGAGUUUGAUCCUGGCUCAGAAUCAACGCUGGCGGCGUGCCUAACACAUGCAAGUCGAACGCGAAAGCCCCGCAAGGGGUGAGUAGAGUGGCAAACGGGUGAGUAACACGUGGGUGACCUGCCUUCGAGUGGGGGAUAACGUCCCGAAAGGGACGCUAAUACCGCAUAACAUGCUGCCUUUGAAGAGGUGGCCAUCAAAGCUGGGGAUCGCAAGACCUGGCGCUCGAUGAGGGGCCCGCGCCUGAUUAGCUAGUUGGUGGGGUAAUGGCUCACCAAGGCAACGAUCAGUAUCCGGCCUGAGAGGGCGGACGGACACACUGGGACUGAGACACGGCCCAGACUCCUACGGGAGGCAGCAGUGGGGAAUUGUUCGCAAUGGGCGCAAGCCUGACGACGCAACGCCGCGUGGAGGAUGAAGACCUUCGGGUCGUAAACUCCUUUCGAUCGAGACGAAGAACCGGGGGGUGAAUAGCCCGCCGGUGUGACGGUACCGAGAGAAGAAGCCCCGGCUAACUCCGUGCCAGCAGCCGCGGUAAUACGGGGGGGGCAAGCGUUGUUCGGAAUUACUGGGCGUAAAGGGCUCGUAGGCGGCCAACUAAGUCGGACGUGAAA